UCCCUGCGCCUCUUUCUCCUCGCCUCCCCUGCCCUGUUCAAUACGACACCUCCAUAGUCCAUAGAUCGCAUCUUCCUUCUGUUCUCCGCCUCUCCGCACUGCAGCUCGCACCUCGCCAGUGGCCUCGACCCCGGCGCGUACGCAAUGCUACCUGCACGUCGCCGGUAGCCUCGACCCGGUGCGCCCGCGCUGCCGCCAGCACAUCACCGGUGGCCUGGACCCCGGCGCGCCCGGGCUGCCGCCUCCACGUCGCCGUUCGCCUCGACCCCGGCGCUAACCACCCUGCCGCCUGCACAUCGCUGGUUAGCCUCGACCCCGGUGCACCCGCGCUGCUGCCUGCACAACGCGGGUAUCUCAAAUAGCAGAUUUCAGCAGGAAAAGGGUUUCUCACCGGUCGCCAACGCAACUCUGAUGCUGCUUGGCAGGGAGAAUGAAAUUCGAUGUCCAUGCAUCAAAUGCUGCAACACAUACUCUCAUCCUCGUGAUUGGUUUCUGCUCACCUCAAAGUGUAUGGAAUUCUGAGAAAUUAUACCUUUUGGUACCAUUGGUGAAGUUGCGAGGACCCCCCAAACAGUUUCUGAAGGUGAAGGCGAUGAAGAAAUGCAAGCAGAGAGUGAUGAUGAAGCCGCUGAAGCUGAACCUGACAAUGUCUAUGAAGAAGACUUGCUUCAAAAUUCGACAACAACAUCACGUAGAAAGAGAACAACAUGAUGUCACUAGUUUAUGCAACUUUUAAUCUGUAGUAAUCGAUUUGCUUCAUAUUUUUGAUUUUACCUUAUUAAUAAACAGUGACACAAGUAGUUCUGUACUUUAUUUGAUUUAGCGUUCAAUAAUUCAUUUCAGUACAUCAACAUUCUCUUAUUUUAUUUAAUUGUACUUUGUAUAGCCUUUCUGCACACUUCAAACUAACGCUAUAUGCAUAGGGUAUCACAAUGAGUCAGCAACGGUAUGGAAACUUGACAACAUUAGCUCGGGAAAGAUGCCACUCACAGUUGAAUAAGUCUGGACUGGUACACCAAGGUAUUGCUAGGCGGACCAUGCAAGAGAAAUCAAGUCAAAUAGCAGAUUUCAGCAGGAAAAGGGUUUCUCACAGGCCUAAUUUGCAAGAUGAGGAACUAUGGAAAAAGUACGAGUUAGCUACAAAAGAUGGAAAUGAUGCGGCAACUAGUACACCAAUCUUGUUUACUGCAAAUUGGGAUGCGAAUGAUUCCGGAACUAUGAAUGAUGAAGUUGAUGCCAACAACGAUGGUGACAUGGGAAUGGUCCAAUAUUACUGACGCAGCUCAGAAACAUAUAUUUGAUGCAAUUAAGGACAAAUUCGAAAAUAUUGACGAGAACAUUGCAAUAGAUGUGUACAAAGAUGAGAUAUUAGACCAUGUCAAGAAACUUUGAAUCAACUGGCGUGGAGACUUGCACCGGCACUUUGUGAAACCCAACAAGACUAUGCAGGAGGCUAUGAAAAAGUUGACAAUAUGGUGCAAGAAGUAUCAGAAAUUAAGCGUCUUCUGUCUGGUAGAUCUCUAACUGAUAGUUCUCAUGAGGACUGAUGAUCCACCAGAAUAUAUAUAAGCAUAAGGAGGCAUUUUAAUUGCUAGUGAAGAAUGAUAUCCAUUCAAACUAGGAUGGUGUCCCUCUAUUGAAGACUAAUAAAUAAUUUAUUUUUUAGUUGUCUCGUUUUCCACAUAGAUAUGAUCAAGUACAUUCGUGAUAUAAGGAGUGCUUUUCACUAAAAUUUCUUACAAGAUAUUUUAAUUUCAGAAUUGUAUGUCAGAAUAUUGGUAUUUCUAUUAAUAAAAGAGGCUAUGAUCCUUUCGAUUCAGAUUCUUUUGUUUCUAUAUUAAUGUAAAUGUUAAUAUUGAAAUAUUGGA